CUGGCCUAGGAAGAAGAGAAGGCUUUUUAGAUUUUAUUUUGUAGGCACUAGACUUUUAAAUUUUGAAAUGCAGUUAAAGUAGCUAAGGCAGCUGAACAUGAAACCUCAACGACCUGCCUCUGCGGCCUUUACUGGGAGCCACUUUUCUUGCUGUGUUCACAAACUAAAAAUUCAAGAAUUAAAAAAGCAGUUCUGCUUUGGUCUGAUAAUUGUAUCGCAGAAAUACUAUGGUGCUUAAAGAAAAAAAAAGAACCAAAUAAAAGGAGUCACAGGCACUUGAGACAUCCACUCCAUAUCAAACACUGCAGGACCAAAGGCUGCGGCUGUCCCGGCUGCCUUUUUGCACAACGCAGGUCAGGGAUGAUCCCCACCAACCGUUUGUGGCAGCAAAGAACCCAACUGUUAAGGUUUGAGCUCUUCAGGCUGCACGCUGCCUUGCCUUGGAAACACCUGGGAUAUGCAGAGAGCAGGGGAUUUACAUCUGCCGUGGUGAAGCAGCCAAUGACUUCUCACUACUUUGGCCACAAAGGUGGCAAUACAGGGAGAAAUAACAACUUUCCUGCUGGGCUGCCUACACGUUGUGACUGGGAAACGAAAAACGUGCAGACACAGCCCCCUUGCAAGCCCAGGCUCAGUGCCUGCUCUUCCUUGCAUUCCAUCCUGCAGUGCUUUCUCACUCGUUGCUUUUUCUGCUUCAUACAUCUCAGAUGUGACAUGAUUGAGCCUGUUUGCCAGGACAGUCCCAAUCCAUAACUCACCUUACACGUGCCUGUGGCUUGAAAAGCAUCGCAAUCCUUCACUUCAGUUUGGAAGAUGAUGUUUUACAAGAUGUUAUCUGGUGAUUAAACAGUGCCGUGAUUGCAGCUGCUGAGUUUGUGACUUUUAUCUCAGUUAAACAGCAGUAAUUUUUACUUGCUUGGAAACCACAGUGCACACCCACAUACCAAUAUAUAAAUAAUUAUUGCCAGUAUUACUAAUAAUUAUCACCAUUCCUAAUGACAGGAACUUAUCUCAAUGAUAAGAAUAACAAUAAGCUUUCCCAAGGUGACUUCAGCUCACUUAUCUCAAGAAUUUAUCUCAAUAAUAAGGACAUAGAUAUUUGGAGUAGGAAUAGAAAAAAUAAAUACAUGCCUAAGGACCAUGGAAGAAUUUUACCUGUUCUGUGGGAUAACUAGCGAACAAAAGAGACAUAACUUCUUGCUUAGGUAUUUGUCUGAAGAAAAAAGAAAAAAAACAACACCUAACUUCUACACGAUGUGAUUAUGCAAGAAGGAGGAUAGAAAGACAGAGGGAUUUGUUAGCUUUAUGGGAACUGCGACCUCCUUGGUGGUGCUGGGAGAGGCUGUGGUGCUGAGCAGCACAAAUGCUACAUCUGUGCGAGUCUGGGCAAGUGAGAAGUUUUCCGUUCAGGAACAGCAUCCCAGCUCCGGUGGGACUGGCACCAAGAUGAGCAGAAAGCGAGCCCCUGGCCAGCAGCUUGUGGCUCAGCAGGCCGUCCUUCCGUCGCUCCAUCAUGCUGCCCCUGCCCCUACAGGUUGCCUAAAGAGAUCCCUGGCUUUGAAGGGGAGAAAGCUGGCCAAAAAUACAAGUUAGCAAAAGGAAACGGCGGAGCAGCAGCUACCACAUGAUGAAUGCUACCAACACGAGCCUUGCUGACAGCUCAGAGCCCAGACACCUCUGCUGAGGCAGAUUGGCUUAGUCUCUCAAAACACAGGAACUAAAGUAGCAGCAGCUGCCCCUGGGAAACGCCUGAAUCCAUAGAGGAGCAAUGAGCAUGUUUGGGCUGGAGGAACUGGCUGGAGAACACGCCUGGCAGCUUCUGCCACUCUUCCUCUGGGCUCCUAACAUCCACUUGGCUCAGUGUGCAGGUAUCGCAUCUAUUGGCUGAAAAGUCAAAGGCAGCAGCACAUUCAUUGAUCUUCAUUUUUUCCCCAAGUAGCUUGGAAACCUUUCCAGAGUUGUAUUUUUCCACCCUGACCUAUAUUUGUGGUGGUGAUUCAUCUUUCCAUGGUUCCCCCUGCUUUGAAGCAAGGCAGCCCUCAUCACCACACGUCCACGCAGGGCACCAAGGCUGCUCCGCACACCACCAUCACACACCAGCUGCAAAUUAUUUCAACGCACUGGGGACCAGCAGGACUUUGAGGCCUGACUCCUAACUCAUGAGAACAUCAAGGGAGAAGCCCCAGUUUCCAGAGGGUCUUUUCCUCAUUUUUCUCUUCAGGGGCCGGUCACAGCUGACUUCCUGCAAAAUAGGCCCAGCCCAGGCAGUCCAACUUCGGUGGCAUCCAACUGGGCUGAAGCAGGAGGACUGUGCAGCAUCUUCUAAUGAUUUUUAUUUUGGGGAGGAGAAACACCACCUCUAGGAAUUGAGCUUUAUUGGACGCUCUAAUCCAGAAGAGAUAAAAGCACUUACUAAUUACUGCUGGGUUUUGUUUCUUUGAAGAAUUGGGUUAAAUCUCUUUUGAAAGUAGAAGUCUGUUUGUGCUUGUUAGAUGUAUAAUUUAAUUUGUUUAGGAAUUUUUCUCUUUUAGGGUUUUGUUCUGAUGAUAUAUGUACAUUUUUUCUUCUCUCCUUUCCUCUCUUUUCUCCCCAAAGAUAACAACUUUUGAUUUACUAUAGAUUUAUUUUCCUUAUUUAACCACAAAUUUCCCUGAGUUGAUUUAUCUUUUUUGGUGACCUUAUUUUUUCCUCUCUUUUUCCUCUUGAAAAUGCAUUUCCUAAAAUAAAUAAAUGUGUACCUUUUGCAUCCCAGUUUAAUAAUUUUGAGAUGUAUUUGCUCAUGCAUGUUUGCUGACUGAAACAUGUCUUCAUGCUACACUGGAGAGAGAACUCAAAACAUCUACUUUGGAAAAAAAAUCUAUUGAAAUCACCAUAAGCUAAUUUAUCUGCCAAGUGCUGCUCUGCAACACUGCAGGAGCAAAGAAAAUUGGGAUGAAGGGGAACUUGGGAGGUUGUUUAAUUCAUAUUACUUCCCCAAGUCAGGAUCAUCCAGCCUACAUCAUUCCUAACAGAUGUUUUUCUAACCUGUUCUUAAAAACCUCCAGUGAUGCUAAGUGCACAGCCUCCCAUGGCAAUUUCCAUUAAUAUUCAACUGUCCUCACUAUUAGAAUUUUUUUUCCUAAUGUUUAACCUGAAUUUCCUGAGAGAUAAUUAGAGCCUGUGACUUCCCAUCCCAUCCACAUGUAUCCCAUCUUGUUAAGUCCCUCCAGCUGAGGGAAAUGGGCCAGAUAAAUUCCCAGGAGCUCUCUGUGCUUCGGUUCCUCUGCAAAUAUAGCCCAAAUUUUGAAAAUCCCACCCACUGAGAGCUACUCCCAAAAUUCAAAUAGAGAUCAGCUGUUUGUCCUGUCUGUGCUCAACAUCUAUUGAGAUUUUGCUGUGUCAGUGGAAAAAGAGCCUCACACAUCACACACAAAGUCUGCACUUAACUGCACAAUGCCCUUCCCUUACCCCUGCUCGGCAGGAUGAUGUUCUUCAUCUCUGCUCACGUUCUGCACGGAGACAUUGGGAUAUUCACUGGGUAAUACAUACGCUGCUGUGGACUAACAGAGGGUCUCCUGGCCCUGUGAAUGAAGACUUCAAGGAUGCUUUGAGAUGUACCUCCAAGGCACGCUCUGCCUUACUGUCCUCAGCUCAUGCAAGGCAGUAAAAUCCCUCAGUGCAAAACACUGCCUAAAUGGAAGCAGCUCCAAGCUUCAUCGCAAAGUAGCCAGAACUGAGGUUUUUACCUCCUGCAGGAGAGGGGCUAAGAGGAACCACACUUCUGGCAACCGCUGGUGCCCCCCAGCCUUGUCUCUUGCCCUCUGGAGGGACAGCAGCAGCGGUGGAUUUCCAGACAUCUGUUAGGCAAGGCAGAAAACAGCUGGGGCACAGCUGCUUCGCUGCUGCCAGCAGUUGCAGUGAUUUUGCUUGCCUCUAGCACUGGCCCUGUCUGGUUAUUAAUUUUUGUUUUCAUUAUCAUUAUUACUACAACUAUUCUAAAUAAAAAUGGAACAAAUUCCUUCUCAGAAAUAUUUUUUUUUCUUUUAAACAGAUGUUUUUGCUGCCGCAGGACGUAGUAAGAGAAAUAUUUUCAUUGUAUGAGUGGGUAGAAAUCCUUCAUGGUGGAUGAUGGGGGACUGGGAAUAAUGUUCGGAACAAACUGGGAGUCAGAUUACGCAGAGAGCCUCCAGAAACAUUGGCUUCUGUAAUCCUGGAGCAAUUGUUGCCUUGAGGGCACAAGCCCCGAAAAUGCAGAGGUCCCACAGCAUGACAGACCAAGUGGUAGGAAAGCAGGGAGGCUCCAUCAGACCACAAAUGGGCAAGGAAUUGAAAGCAUUUUUUGAUUGAUGCCAAACGAUCGUGUUGCUAGCCUCAGGAAAAUGAAACUCCGAACAACAAAACACCAUCAUUUGGGGCCAAUCAAAGAGGUCUCGCUCAGCCCCAAGCUGAAACACUUUUGGUUUGUUUGAUCCUUUGAGAAAAAAACACAUCAUGGGCACAUUGAUAUGUUUUGAAAAAGAAACAAAAAAGACUAAAAUACUUUGUUUUCUUUUCCAAGUUUUGACCAUUUUGCAAGUUUACCUCGAGACAUUUCUGAGAUGCUGCUCAGUUGGGCUCAGUGCGCCCCAUGCCUGGGAACACAGUGUCAUGUCCCGGCCAUGCUCCUCUGUCAGAGGAGGUUUCUGAGGGUGUGUAAGAGAAACUGUGGUCAGGACCAAUGUAGACACAUCAGCAGGCCUUCAUGCAUGACCUCUCCAACUCCUGGACAUGUCUUGCAGCCCUGCAAUCCUUCAACUAUCUGGGUAAUGCCUCAGGUCGCCUGGAUUAAAACCUCACUGUGCCCAACAUCAGAGAA